rnacentral:antisense_RNA from 1 species
AGAAGGGCUUCCACAACGGAAACGUUUGGAGGCCCUUUUUUUUUAU